rnacentral:rRNA from 1 species
ACACGACUACAUUAGAUACCCCUGUAGUCCUAGCCGUAAACGAUACUCGCUAGGUGUCGGCCACGGUGCGACCGUUGUCGGUGCCGUAGGGAAGCCGUGAAGCGAGCCACCUGGGGAGUACGGCCGCAAGGCUGAAACUUAAAGGAAUUGGCGGGGGAGCACCACAACGGGUGGAGCUUGCGGUUUAAUUGGAUUCAACGCCGGAAAUCUUACCGGGACCGACAGCUGUAUGAUAGCCAGGUUGAUGACUUUGCUUGACUAGCUG